rnacentral:rRNA from 1 species
UGAGGAAUAUUGCACAAUGGGCGCAAGCCUGAUGCAGCAACGCCGCGUGCGGGACGAAGGCCUUCGGGUCGUAAACCGCUUUUCUGGGGGAAGAGCAAGGACGGUACCUCAGGAAUAAGUCUCGGCUAACUACGUGCCAGCAGCCGCGGUAAAACGUAGGAGGCGAGCGUUAUCCGGAUUUACUGGGCGUAAAGCGCACGCAGGCGGCUCUGUUAGUCGGACGUGAAAGCUCUCGGCUUAACCGGGAGAGGCCGUUCGAUACUGCGGGGCUUGGGGUAGGGAGAGGAAUGCGGAAUUCCCGGUGUAGUGGUGGAAUGCGUAGAUAUCGGGAGGAACACCUGUGGCGAAAGCGGCAUUCUGGCCCUCACCUGACGCUGAGGUGCGAAAGCGUGGGUAGCAAACA